UUGGAGGGCAAGUCUGGUGCCAGCAGCCGCGGUAAUUCCAGCUCCAAUAGCGUAUAUUAAAGUUGUUGCAGUUAAAAAGCUCGUAGUUGAACUUCGGGGUCUACCCCAUUGGUCAGGCUUAAUUGUCUGCACUGGUAGGAUGGAUCUCUACCUUCUGAGGAACUUUCAUGCCAUUUAUUUGGUGUGAUGGGAAAUCAGGACUGUUACUUUGAAAAAAUUAGAGUGUUUAAAGCAGACUAUCGUCUGAAUACAUUAGCAUGGAAUAAUGAAAUAGGACGGACUGAUUCUAUUUCGUUGGUUUCUAGGAUCACCGUAAUGAUUAAUAGGGAUAGUUGGAGGCAUUAGUAUUCAAUUGUCAGAGGUGAAAUUCUUGGAUUUAUUGAAGACUAACUACUGCGAAAGCAUUUGCCAAGGAUGUUUUCAUUAAUCAAGAACGAAAGUUAGGGGAUCGAAGACGAUCAGAUACCGUCGUAGUCUUAACCAUAAACUAUGCCGACUAGGGAUCGGACGAAGUUAAUUUUAUAAUGACGCGUUCGGCGCCUUACGGGAAAC
rnacentral:rRNA from 1 species